UAUAGGGUCCCAUGCAUAUGCAUUUGCAGCAUGAUGAGACACUACAUGAUUUGACCAGACUGGCCCUGCUUCAUUCGGUGGCGGAGACCGUCGGUAUCAAUCUACUGUACGCCUGCGUUAUUGGUCGUCCACACGCCUCCAUGGACCGACCAUGGGCAUGAAUUGAUGGAGGAUUGGAGGUUGAGCUGCUAGGUAGCUGGAUGGGAUUUUUUUUCUAGUCUUAUCUUAUACGGAAUACUCCUCUACAAAAGGCCAUUGAGCGAUGGAGAUGAUGAAGGCAGAGAGGCUAGCAUAGCAUCCUGCUACUUUCUAACCCUGCUGCCAUGAAGUUCUUUUCUUGUCUCUCUUCCCUGCAGCUGCAGGCCAUCUGCGCGCUGAUGGCGAUCCUCCUGGCCAUCACCAUCUCUUCUUGCUCCGUCGUCGUCCACUGCUCGGAGGUCGAAGGAGACUCCAACGCCCCAAUCGAUGGUGCACCCGUAGCUCACCUGGACGGAGGUCGCCGGGGCUUGGCGCCGCCGCCGCCGCGCGGCGGCCCCGUGCGCGCGUACUUCGUCGAACCGCGACCGCCACCGACACAGCGGCGCCGCGUUUAGCACCUGACCCGGAAGAUAGGCCGGAUCGGAGCUUGAGGUGACGCCAGUGAUUAGUGCCGUUGGCGGUGAAUUGGUGGUGCCGAUCCCUCGUCACGUUGCUUGGUUAGUUCCGCAUCUGGUGGUGUCACUAAGAGAUGGAGGCGCAAAUAUGCUCGUUAAGCUUUCAGUAAAGCUGCGCGUGAUGCCUUCGGUCGAAAAAGAGAUGGUGGCGCAGGUCGAUUUUUCCAAGAAAUUAUUACUUAUUGUACAGGAUUACCUCGAGUACAGUAUUGUUGGGUUAAUAGUUGUACCGCUGUGAACUGGACUAGUACGUAGUAGAAGUCUACAGUGACCACUCACUCUCCA